rnacentral:lncRNA from 1 species
GAAAAGCAAGCUGAGAAACUCUGAACGCAACUGUUUCUCCGUCAGCCCCUGCACUGUGCCUCGGCCACAUAGGGGAUGAAGCCCUUUUCUGGGCCCUGGGUGCAGGCCCUGGGCUGAGCCCUCACACACUGAGCUCUCACAGGAGUUCCCUGAGCCAGGGGUGCGAGAGAGCAGAAACUGGGCCAGGCUGCCCACAUGCAAGCCCCGGUUCUGACACGCAGGAGCUGGUGUCCAUGGGCGAGUCACACAGCACCUCAAUGCCUCGAUUUCCUCUCUGCAAGUGGAAGUAACAAGAGAGAGGUGGUGAACAGACACCAGGCACUCAGCCCUGAGCAUGUGGAAGCACCUCAGGACAGUGGCUAUUUCGGGCAUUGCUCCUGCUUAACUUCAGAUGAGGGAACUGAGGCUUGGGCGGCGGGAGUCCCUCGGCCAGUGGUGACAGAAGCAGGACAGGGUCCCAGUGAUCUGACUCCUCCUGCCACCUGGGCCCUUAGCUCCUCUGCUGAGCUCAGCUGCCACCUCCCCCUGGGAGCCUUCCUGCAUUGCCCACAUCUCUGCAGGACCACGUCUUCUCUCACACAGCUCUGGCUCCUCCUGUUGUCAUCCACUUCUGUCACGGGGGCUUGUCCUCAAGGCUCAGGGCUCAGGGCAGGGCCUGGCCCAGAAGAGGACUCUCUUGAGAGAUUACUGAGCAAUGCCAGAGGUCCCCCACCCCACUGACCUGCAGCUCUCCUCCGAGGACAUAGUACCAGUCUAGGUUGAGGGGACCCCUGGCCUGAUGGGUGUAAGGCCCCCCACUGUGGCGACCUUCUGGGCAGCUGGGAGUGGCAGGGGGACCCAUGGGUCCUUAGGCCAGCAGGACUGGGCCUUGAGGGUUGCGUGCUGCCUCUCCUCUCCUUCUCAGUUCCAUGAGGUCAGCUGUUCUUGUCAUGUCAUGGGGGAGAGAGUGUGCCCCAGGACACGUGGGAAAGAGGGCUCCCAAUAUUUCCAGCUGAAACUCAGGACACGGAGCAGGACUUUGUCCAAAAGGGUAUUUCCCAUGGCCUUGUGUGUAAUGGCCCUGCCUUGGAAAAGAGCCUGUGUCCAGCUGUAGCACAGUGAGCUAGGGCAGGGUCUCUAGGGGGCAUCAGUAAUAUCAACCCACUAAAACGUUAGGCUCAGUGCAAAUGUUUCAUAGAGGAGAAGCACUAAUGACAUCUUCCUUUUUUUCAGCUGAGCCCAAAUUAUGCAGCUAGUGCAGCUGAGAUGGCAGGAGUCCAUGAGCACAGGGACCCUGCUCGGACACAGGGCCGGCUAGCCAGCUUCUCCAUGCGUUAGUGCCCUCUGCUGUAAUGUGGGCACAAUAGCACCAGAGCACCUACGCAGGGUAGAACACAUGGAAACUGCUUAUGCUCUUCUUGUGUGAUGUUUGUCUCUGCAGCAGCUCUACACUCAGUACCUACCUCUUGGACACCUGCCCCCCACUAGCAGCCCUGCCUGGCAAGGUAGCAGGGGUGGCAGUGCCUGUUAGGGUCAGGGGAGCAGGAGGAGGGCCGGCUGAAACCCAGGCGCACUGGGCCAUGCUCGCCGCCAGGGCUCUGCUGGCGAGGGGGCCCUGGGCCUCCCGGACCCACCUCGGGCAGGCAGGUGGUCUCUGCAAUGAUGACCAACACUGACAAGGCCCCUCUGGUCCCUCCACUGAGGUCACCACACCAGCUGGAGUGACCACGCCUGCAGUGUGGGACCCGACCUCUCUGUCCCAGUUCUCCUGUGUCAAAGGCCUCAGUAUCCAAGUGACACAAGUUGAGCAUCUGGGUGAAGCCAGUGUUUGUGGACAGGGCAUUUCUGGGCCACCUUAGACUCGCCUACUUUCUGCUGUGGUUUUCAAGUUUCCUAGAAGAUAUUUUCACUCACCCUGUGAGGGAGAUGCCGGCAAUAAUGCGCAAGACAUUGAACAACGAAAGGAGACGUUGUCCCACGGAGGGAGGUCUGGACUGGACUGUGGUGCCCACCGCACACCCUUGCCAGGCUCCCUCCACUAAACUGUCAUCCUGGCUGGUGUAGCCACGCACUCAGCAGGCAGGAGCAAGAGCCCAAGUGUCAAGCCUGUCUGUGUUUAUGGUUAUUUGUAAUCCCACCAGUGUUCUUAUCCUGCUCCGGAGGGCUGGAUUAAUCAGACUGGAAACGUGAUCGGUCAUGAGCUCAGCCCUGUCCCGUCCACCCUAUAACCUGACUCCAGGCACACUGGGCUUUUCUUCUCCCCUUAGCAGUCCUGACAUCCCCUCGGGGCUGUGAAAUUUCCAUCACUUUCAUACUCCUCUUUCACCUGAUGACCCACACACCCCCAGUAGCUUCUUUCUCUUUCUGUCAAGCAGAGAUCAUUACACCUGUGUAGUUCCCUGCCACUUUGCCCCUAAAAUAGUAAAGGGGUGGGGAGGGUACACGCAGCUUCCUUUUCUCCACUGCCUGCCAAGGAGGGCACUCCUUUCCUAGAAGAAAUAUACAGCCCACCCCCUUCCUCUACAAUGCCCUGGGGACGUCUCUGACUCCACCCCACUGCGAUCAGAUGUCCACUGUUUACGCUAGACUGGGCAGAACCUGCUUUGGCCCUUCCUACAAUGUCCUAGCUAAUCAGGCUCACUCCGUGACUUUAGUCAUUAUUGCUAAGGUGAUAAGGCCUCAUCUCCAGGCUAGAAUCUCUUCCCGAACCUCAAAUCCAUGCCCCAGGAUUCCCCACACUACACAGCCCCACCCUGAGCAUCCCCCUGAGGUGCUGGCCCCCAUCUUUCCCCUUUCCCUCCCCUAAUUAAUAGCCCUGAUGCAGCCUUGGAAGUCUGCUUCACAUCCAGCGUGUCUCUUCCACACCAAGGCUUCCAUUUCUGGUCCAGGCCUCCUCCUCUUUCCCCAGGCCACCCUGACAGCCCCUCACCCAGUUCCUGGUGCUAGAGCAUUCAAUCCCAUCACACCAUCUCCCUCUGCUUAAGAUCUCUUAAUUUGUCUGCAACUCAACUUGAUUAAAGUUAUGCAAGAAUAAAGUUAGUACAUUAGACUAUCAGAUAACCAUGAAAAGGGCAGGGAUGAAGGCCAGGGUACCUUUACUCAAAUAGCACCACAAUUCUCAUGUUUUGCUGUGUGUGUGUGUGUGUGUGUGUUUACGUUUUGCUUUGCUUUGUGCUAUUAGGGAUGGAACCCAGGGCCUUGUAUAUGCUAGGCAACCACCCUAUCACCAAGCCACACUCGCAGCCUGCACUGGAAAUUUUGUUUCUCCUUUUCCCCGAUGAAUCUUCUUCACUCUCUCCUAAUUCAUACCCAUUUCCUCCAGGGAACAGGCAACCUGUCUACUCACCACUCCCAAGCUUUAUAUUCAUUGUGUUUGUCUAGCUGUUAUCCUCCAUACCAGCUACCACCUUUGGCUCUAGGUUAGAAAAAAAAAAAUUCCAGUUACAUUUGCUUGCAUGAGGACUAAUCAGUUACACCAGGUAGUGGGGGAAGUCAGUGGAAAAAAGACAAAGAGCUGCUGCUUCCAGGCCUCUGAGAAGAGCUGCCACAGUCAGGCUGGGCAGACAGGGCAGAAAGGCCAGGGUUAGGGUUAGGGUCAGGAUUAGGGUUAGGAUCAGGAUUAGGCACCAGAUUCAACUUGGUGCCUUUUUCCUAAGAAGAGAAAACAGACCAAACUUGGUGCUCAAACGCAAACCUUUCCUGGGAGCUUCAUUCAAGGUGAAGCCAUCACACGGUCUUUGUCCUGGAGGCCCAGUCAUCAAGUAGACAGCGCUUGCUAUUAUGGCUUUGCAAAGCUGCCAAGUCCAGGAAGAUUGUGGAAGCUUUCUGACUCUGCUUCCCGUACAUUUCUAAGUUGGUUGCAGGCCAGGGCUUCCACUGCCCAGGUGCAGCCAGCCUAAUGCUAGGGUGUUGACAGGUGCCAGGCAGGUAUGAGAGAGAGCCUUGUUCUGCCACAGAGCACUGAAGUAUCUGUUCUGAACUCCUGUCACCUUGACUGAUGCUUAGAACACUUAGGACUCAGCUCCAGACUGGUCGCACCUUGGGACUUCACUCUCAUUCUCAAUGCCGGCUCCUCCAGGCUCUGUGCACCUGAGGACAGCUGUUGCCUAUGUAGCCUUUGCCUCUCAGCAGCCAGCCUGGGCCCAUGGGGACUGGGAGCUCUGUGACACCAACUUGAUGUGCUACAUAGCUUGGGCCCGGGGGCCUCUGAUUAAAAAAAAAAAAAAUACAGUGUUGCUUCCAUGUGCCCGUACUUGAUCAUCCCCAUUUCAAAUUGGAGUAAAACUGAGGUUCUAAGAGGUUAAGU